GACGAACGCUGGCGGCGUGCUUAACACAUGCAAGUCGAACGGAAAGGCCUGCUUUCCCUUGUGGAUUGCGGGUACUCGAGUGGCGAACGGGUGAGUAACACGUGAGUGAUCUGCCCCCAACUUGGGUAUAAGCCUGGGAAACUGGGUCUAAUUCCCGAUAGGACUGCAGGGUGGUGCCUGUGGUGGAAAACGAUUUUCUAGUGGUUGGGGAUGAGCUCGCGGCCUAUCAGCUUGUUGGUGGGGUAAUGGCCUACCAAGGCGGCGACGGGUAGCCGGCCUGAGAGGGGGGACGGCCACAUUGGGACUGAGAUACGGCCCAGACGCCUACGGGAGGCAGCAGUGGGGAAUAUGACACAAUGGGCGGAAGCCUGAUGCAGCGACGCCGCGUGGGGGAUGACGGCCUUCGGGUUGUAAACUCCUUUCGACCGCGAGGAAGCCACCUGGUUGGAAGGGUGGUGACGGUAGUGGUAGAAGAAGCACCGGCUAACUACGUG
rnacentral:rRNA from 1 species